rnacentral:other from 1 species
GAAUUCCUUACAGCAAUCAUUAAUGAAUGUUCAUCUUGAGAGACCCACGUGGUUUUUCCCGGUAAAAUUGGAUUCUG